UACGUAGGGGGCGAGCGUUGUCCGGAAUUAUUGGGCGUAAAGCGCGCGCAGGCGGUUCUUUAAGUCUGAUGUGAAAGCCCACGGCUCAACCGUGGAGGGUCAUUGGAAACUGGAGAACUUGAGUACAGAAGAGGAAAGCGGAAUUCCACGUGUAGCGGUGAAAUGCGUAGAGAUGUGGAGGAACACCAGUGGCGAAGGCGGCUUUCUGGUCUGUAACUGACGCUGAGGCGCGAAAGCGUGGGGAGCAAACAGG
rnacentral:rRNA from 1 species